AUUGAACGCUGGCGGCAGGCCUAACACAUGCAAGUCGAGCGGAUGAAGGGAGCUUGCUCCUGGAUUCAGCGGCGGACGGGUGAGUAAUGCCUAGGAAUCUGCCUGGUAGUGGGGGAUAACGUCCGGAAACGGGCGCUAAUACCGCAUACGUCCUGAGGGAGAAAGUGGGGGAUCUUCGGACCUCACGCUAUCAGAUGAGCCUAGGUCGGAUUAGCUAGUUGGUGGGGUAAAGGCCUACCAAGGCGACGAUCCGUAACUGGUCUGAGAGGAUGAUCAGUCACACUGGAACUGAGACACGGUGCAGACUCCUACGGGAGGCAGCAGUGGGGAAUAUUGGACAAUGGGCGAAAGCCUGAUCCAGCCAUGCCGCGUGUGUGAAGAAGGUCUUCGGAUUGUAAAACACUUUAAGUUGGGAGGAAGGGCAGUAAGUUAAUACCUUGCUGUUUUGACGUUACCAACAGAAUAAGCACCGGCUAACUUCGUG
rnacentral:rRNA from 1 species